rnacentral:rRNA from 1 species
UACGUAGGGGGCAAGCGUUGUCCGGAAUUAUUGGGCGUAAAGGGCUCGUAGGCGGUUUCUUAAGUCUGAUGUGAAAGCCCACAGCUCAACUGUGGAGGGUCAUUGGAAACUGGGGAACUUGAGUGCAGAAGAGGAGAGUGGAAUUCCACGUGUAGCGGUGAAAUGCGUAGAUAUGUGGAGGAACACCAGUGGCGAAGGCGACUCUCUGGUCUGUAACUGACGCUGAGGAGCGAAAGCGUGGGGAGCAAACAGGAUUAGAUA